GACGAACGCUGGCGGCGUGCUUUAUACAUGCAAGUCGAACGAUGAAGUUCCUUCGGGAAUGGAUUAGUGGCGAACGGGUGAGGAACACGUGAGAAACCUGCCUUUCAUUCUGGGAUAACACCGGGAAACCGGUGCUAAUACCGGAUACUCCGUCUUGGCGGCAUCGCCGAGCCGGGAAAAAAUUUUGAUGAAAGAUGGUCUCGCGGCCUAUCAGCUAGUUGGUGAGGUAAAGGCUCACCAAGGCGACGACGGGUAGCCGGCCUGAGAGGGUGACCGGCCACACUGGGACUGAGACACGGCCCAGACUCCUACGGGAGGCAGCAGUGGGGAAUAUUGCACAAUGGGCGCAAGCCUGAUGCAGCAACGCCGCGUGAGGGAUGACGGCCUUCGGGUUGUAAACCUCUUUUAGUAGGGAAGAAGCGAAAGUGACGGUACCUGCAGAAAAAGCACCGGCUAACUACGUGCCAGCAGCCGCAGUAA
rnacentral:rRNA from 1 species